rnacentral:rRNA from 1 species
UAGGUAUAGGUUUGCCUGCCGAAGCCCUUAGCCAGCGACUCUAAACAACUUUGCUAGAGUCGCCCCUUUUGGGGCUGGCGACGCCAUCAAUCUGUGUCUGGAAGUUCCCUCUAGGGGGGAAUACUACCAGCAGCUCGUCACAUUCGAGUUCACAGGUCAAACGAUUGCGGCCAUUUCGGUGGUUAAGAUAUGAUCGGCCGUCAGCUGUCAUCUAGCUGGCGAGAUUUGCGGAACCUGCGGAAGGAUCAUUA